AUAAAGAUUCAUCUAGUGAAAAAAUAUGGAAGGAUACUUUCAGUUUAAAAAAGACAUCCACAGGAAAAGUAGAAAAAGCUCAAAAGGAUAAACUGAUUAAAAGGAACUCUAAGAAGAAAUUGAGAGCGAAGUUCAAAAACAAAGAUUCUAGUAUAAAAAA